AUAUUGUCUAAAUAUAAUAUCAUAAGAUAAUGCGUUAUGUCCUAUGUUCUUCAAGUGGAUCAUCCUAUUUGCCCUUACAGUUGUCACUUACAACCAUUUAGGCCAAAAAUAAUGUUGCUUAAGUUAUGAUUAUGAUGCAGAUAGAAUUGUAGCGUUUCUGCUUACAACUGCAGGUUCUGUUGAGGACAAGUGGAAGUCGUUGGCAAUAAAAUUGCGCUUCGUGUAUGCUCAAUAUUUACAAACCUCUUAAUAAUGCUAAAUUUUAUGGACAAAGCCUAAAACUCCAGGUCACAGGAAAUGACGCUUGAUAGGUACUUUGACAGAAAGAAAGACAAAGAGAGUGGGUUUACCAGGUGGACAACUCGUCAGUAUGGUUUCAAAAAAAAAAUUACUCUUCUCAAAUUGCUGGUUUGCUAGUACAGGACCUAAGUAUGUCAUACAUUUGUAAAUAACUUCGUGAAUGAUUUCGUUAAAGAAAAUCUGAUAAUUAUUAGCCUGUACCAUUAAAUUGUUUUUGUUGCACGGCGCACUUUCAAAAUCUAUGGCAAUUACUUUUAUUUCUAAUGUUGGUUCACUAAAGGUAUAUUGGAAGGUCAAAGGCAAGCUCUUGGG
rnacentral:lncRNA from 1 species